rnacentral:rRNA from 1 species
UACGGAGGGUGCUAGCGUUGUUCGGAAUCACUGGGCGUAAAGGGCGUGUAGGCGGUCUGUUAAGUCUGAUGUGAAAUCCCCUCGCUCAACGAGGGAACUGCGUCGGAUACUGGCAGACUCGAGUACCGGAGAGGAAGGUGGAAUUCCCGGUGUAGCGGUGAAAUGCGUAGAUAUCGAGAGGAACACCAGUGGCGAAGGCGAGUCCCUGGACAACACCUGACACUGAGGCACGAAAGCCGGGGGAGCAAACAGG